AAGGCUAUGCUUUUAGGGAUCAUUUCUCUGGUUGGUGACUGGAGAAGGGUGGUUGUAAAAGUCUGGCCUCGCUAACCACGAUGAGGAUCUGUAGUGUUUCUUUCUGAGCAUGACAAUGGCAGAGUGUGCUGUUAUGUGAGGGCUGCUUUCUGCUGUGGAAGAGUGCUCUGUUCUUCCUGAGACGAGCAGGGGAAAGAAACACAGUCUGAGUGGC
ensembl:snoRNA U3 Small nucleolar RNA U3